rnacentral:lncRNA from 1 species
AAUCACACAAUAAAUACAAAGACAUCAUACCCAAAUAAACUUAGCUUCAAAGACCAACAAGACAUACAUCAACAAUCUCGAACCAUGAGCUUAGAAAACUCAAUAUAGAAGUAAUUAUUAUAAUUGAAAGAGAGAUAGCGACGAUAUCCAAAAUAUAGAAAUAAAAAAAUCUUCAAAUUAAAUGUGAGGAACCAUAAAUCCAACAGAUCUAAUAAGGUGGAAAGCGAGAGGAGAAGAAGGCAGAUGGCUAGCCGCGAGGAUGUGACCGCCACCAAUGACGACUACAUGUUUGUUAGAAGAUUGAUUAGAAGAGAUCAUGUUUAGAAGAUUUAUUAGGAGAUUAGAGAGAGAGGAGAGAAUAGAGAAGAUAUUAUGGUAGAAGAUUUGUUCGGAGAGAUCAUGUGUAGAAACGAUGAUUUUUAUGGAAUAAGAGAGAGUAUAGAGAGAAAAGAAUAGAACGACAAC